rnacentral:rRNA from 1 species
CUGCUGCCUCCCGUAGGAGUUUGGGCCGUGUCUCAGUCCCAAUGUGGCCGUCCACCCUCUCAGGCCGGCUACUGAUCGUCGCCUUGGUGGGCCUUUACCCCGCCAACCAGCUAAUCAGACGCGGGUCCAUCCCAUACCACCUUGGUUUUCAAACAAAAAGCAUGCGCUUUCUGUUGUUAUGCGGUAUUAGCACCUAUUUCUAAGUGUUAUCCCCCUGUAUGGGCCAGGUUACCCACGCGUUACUCACCCGUCCGCCACUAAGCCUUUCCCUUUUCCG